rnacentral:rRNA from 1 species
UACCUGCAGCUCAAGUGGUGACCACUAUUAUUGGGCCUAAAACGUUCGUAGCCGGUUUAUUAAAUGCUUGGGUAAAUCGUGUAGCUUAACUGUACGAAUUCCGGGUAGACUGAUAGACUUGAGACCGGGAGAAGCUAGAGGUACUCCUGGGGUAGAGGUGAAAUUCUGUAAUCCUGGGGGGACCACCAGUGGCGAAGGCGUCUAGCUAGAACGGGUCUGACGGUGAGGAACGAAGCCCUGGGGCGCAAACCGGAUUAGAUACCCGGGUAGUCCAGGGUGUAAACGCUGCUUGCUUGAUGUUAGUUGGGCUCCGAGCCCAAUUAGUGUCGGAGAGAAGUUGUUAAGCAAGCUGCCUGGGAAGUACGAUCGCAAGAUUGAAACUUAAAGGAAUUGGCGGGGGAGCACAGCAACGGGUGAAGCGUGCGGUUU